AAUAGGUGGGGAAACGCUGAUCCCCAUUCAGUGAGUAAGGUCAGUGACUAAGUAGCUGCUGGUGACGAGGAGGUGGUGAACAAGAGGAGGAUAAUAACUCCAAGGGGUUGAAUGCUUUGACAAGGUAGUAUUCAAUGUUUACAUUCAAAAGCAUCUCUACUUGUUUGGUUGUUUCUUAGAAGGUUUUUCCGGAGGAAUUCGGCCCAAAGUAUCACUCCGCACUGCAGACUCUGGUGUGGGAGUUCCUCUCCAGGCUGGAGAAGCUGCUUCCAACACCAACCCUUCAACAGGAGUGUGUGCAGACUGUGUCACCCUCAACCUUUGAGAACCCUUCUCCAGUCCCACACCAACCCUUCUCCAGUCCCACACCAACCCUUCUCCGGUCCCACACCAACCCUUCUCCGGUCCCACACCAACCCUUCUCCGGUCCCACACCAACCCUUCUCCGGUCCCACACCAACCCUUCUCCAGUCCCACAUGUUGAGGCCAAUGCUCUGUCAUCUGGAGACAAUCACAUCCUCGCCUCGCUGUCUCCAUCUCCCCUAGAAUCAUUCACAGACCCAGACAUCCAAUCAGAACCC